CCCAGCUUCUGCGUGCUUUUUUCCCUGAGGCUGAGACCAAAGAAGAGCUGAUGAUUUCCCCAAGUUGAUUUACUCUCAUAUCUGCCAUGAAGAUUCUGGGUUUUGGAUAGCCGAUGCUUGUUGCUGUUCUCUCCAAGGUGCUUUCUACAUGAUUAAAACUUCUCCCUAGCCCAAGGGUCAGAAUGAUAUGCCUUUAAUUACCAAGGGCUGUGGAAGAAACUAUCAAGUGAAACCAGCAAGAAUCUGUGUUCUAGCUGAGGCUGUCAGAGUUCUGCAGGGAAAACGUGCUGUUUGCCACCACUGCCCCCUCCCCAGCCCAGAGCAGUGCUGGUCAGCAGGAGCACAGCUGUCCACCCCCUCUGCCCCGCAAGAAGAAAAGCUUCAUAUUGAGUGCUGUAAAGACCUGUGCUUGAAAUCUGCUACUGCCUGCAACGUUCUGAUGCCUGGGAAGGGAGGAAGUGCUCCAGAGCUGCAGGUCCCCAGUGGAAACACAGAAGGGUUAACUGGCUGCUGCCUGCAGAGACUGCUUCAUGGAACUCUUCAGAUCUUAAAUGCUGAGAAGGGACAUGAAACAAUAAUCCCCUAGAGAACAUGCUGAAUGAUUCAAGAAAUUCCCCUCAAAUGGGCGCAAUGAGGCCAGGAGGCCAGUGCCAGCAUGCUUUGCCACUGUGAGCCAGCAGAAACCAAACAAGGAGACUGGCAAUGUGACUGUGAACCAGCUAACACAAAGCUUAGGAACUGGAAAUUCAAAGAUCAGCGGGAUCAACAACUGGCCCAUUUCUGAUAUGGGAUAAACAAAAAUCACAACUACAUCAGGGUCAGCUGGGAAUGGGACUCUGCACCAAAUCACCAGUGGCAGUUUCUCUCCUUCAGGCAGUGUUUUGGUUUGGGCUUUUUUUCACCCCUCUCAAAGCUACAGAAAGCUGUGGAGCAGACCUUUUGCACUUGCCUAGGACAUAAACCUCCUCUUCUUGCUGCAUUCAUUUGCUAAAUAGCAUGGUAGCCUGUGAGAAACAUUCUGAAACAGCUGUUUGAACUUGAUUUUUAUGUUCUUCUUCCUCUAGCAAAGUGCCUUCAAGUUCAGUACAAACAGAUCAACAGAGCCAAGCACAGCUUGUAGCCUAGCUACAGAAUUCAGCCUUUGCUCUCAACUACUGAGGUUUUGGAUGAUGUCAGUCUGGUCUCCUGAGGGCUGCUGUUGUCAUCAGAUAGUGAGGUCGAUAAGGCACAUGUUAUGAUGAGGCAUGCUGUUGGGUUUAACCAUAGUAUCGUGCAUGAGGUAGCCAAGAGAGUGGUGCAUUUCCUGGUACAGUGCCUUGAUAAGGCUCUUGCUGCUUCACAGGUAUUUCCACCAUGCUGUCCUCAAUGUUCAGCACGCAACAGAUUGAGGACAACCUGAAAGGCCGAACAGUGCCACGGUUCAAAAAUCCAGUUCCUCUAUCAAAAACAUGUUUGGGACUUCUUGUUUCUUUUCCUGAUUUCAAUUUCACUCUCACCUCACCUUUCUUUUCAAUUUAACUUUUUACAAAGUGAGUAGAGCAGGACCCAAAACAGCUGUUCAGAGCUGGACAAAGUAUAGCCAGUUUUUGGAUCAGUUUUUUUUCCUAGUUCCUCACCUAGUACUCCCCCAUUGCACUGGGGAAGCACCUGAAAUCCAGCACAGCCUUCAAGGUAGGGGCCUUUGGCUGGAGUUGAAGGCUCCAGCCCCUGCCAGAACUUGUUUCCACACUGUUGAGAUGCUCAGUCCUGAAUUGCGGCUUCUUCCUCUUUUCCUAGUUUACUUGAUAUUGAAUAUUAUGAUCUGUUUUACUAGCAGACCAAAUGAUAACAGUUCAGGACCAGUUAUGUGUCUCAAAGACCACUAAAAAGGAAUUUGUACAUUGCCUUUAGCAGGAGUUAGACUGGAUUUUACUUUUUUGCAUUCCUGUUCCUUGUUUACUUUUUGUAUUUCACUUUGAUGGAGCAGAGGAAUAAGCUGGAUUCCCAGUCACCCCUUGCUGGCAGCCAUUGGAGAGUCAUGGCAGUCCUAAUCCUACCAAUGGGACCACACAGAAUAGACAUGUAAAAAUUGAAGUAAUCCACACUUCCACCAUCUGGCCUUUUCACAGUCAGUCCCUAUGUACCAGAAAAAGGUGCACAAUGUACUUUUAAAAAAAUCCUAAUUAUACAAAUUACCAUCUUGAACCACACUGCCCACCAGCUUUUAAUGACGAGUGAGCCCAUUUCACUACCUAAAUAAACCCUCUAGAACCCAGUGGGGAAGUUCAGUGCCUGUGUGUUAUUGUAGCAGCAAAAACCUGACCUGGCAAAGGCAUGAUCUGUGCUGUGUGUGAGACCUAUUGCAGCCUUAGCAGUGAGACGAGGUUGGGUAGGUUGGUACUUACAGCAAUGCAUGGGUGUUGGGUUUUUUCCAUCCCCCAGAGGAGAUGAACUCAGCACACCCUUUGAACUUCUUCAGGACUUUUAGAGAGUAGCUCAUUACAAGCUUUUUAGGACAUGAAGGACAGGAGGUCCUAGCCCUGCAAAGGACAAGUGAGGCAAAACCAGAGGACACCCUGCAGCAGCAAAGCUCAUUUCAGCCUACUGCAGGAACUUGGUGGUCUUCCAGCUUGUGGCAUGGUCCUGCUGGUUUCUGCUUCUUGGUAGAUCUGGUAACCUACAGGGCCAGGAGGCAAGUGACUUGCCUACACAUUGGGGAAGUUUAAAUCCUUUGGUCUAGCCCCUGGGAGAGACAGCACACAUCCUGCUGCCCCCGUCUUCUUGGAGGAAGGUGCAGGCAGAGGUACCCCCAGACAGUGAGCAGAAUGUUAGAGCCCUCGGCUCAGAGAGCAGGUGCUAAGCAUGGUGGGUGGAGAGCAGGGCUGCAGGCAGGAGGAAGAAGCACAAGGAAGUGAAAUGAGCACCUGAUUGCCAUUUGCCACCAGCCUGCUCAUGCCACACACUGCUUAGGCUUGUCUGGGGGAACGGGGUCAUUCACUCUGCCCUGGCUGCCCCUGUCACCUCCACUUCCAGAGCCCCCUUGGUGGCAGGUUGGCCAUGGUGGGCUGCUCUCCUCAGCCAGAAUUGUGAUGGGCACUGCAGGGGCAAAGAGCCUUUCCUCUACCCCAUGAAGCCAAUGGCCAAGGGCCAGCCCCACACAACAGGCACUGUGCAAUCCAGAGCUCAAACCCAUUCCAGACAGGUUGCUUGCUGCCUGUCUCACCUUUUGAAGCCCUCUUAAGCUCCCUGUUCCCUGUAGUGCUCAGAGAAACCAUUGAGUGGACUUGGUAUCUGAAUAGAACCAAAACUGCUGUCUCGCACCCUCUGACUUUGCCCACCUAAACCUCGUGCACCCGUCUGCUGACUUUCCUGGGGUGCUCAGGGCUAAAUUGCUUGUGGGACACAGGACUAUGGUCUUAUCAGAGGUUCUGACUGAUAAUUGUCAUGACAGAGGCACACACCAAGUAAGGAAAAAAACAGGGGAAGAGCAGAUAAAGACCCAAUAAACAUGCUGUGGGUCAGCCAUCUUUUUACACCAAUUUUGAUAAGGCCUCUUAUAAAAACUGUUAGAGGAAAUAAAUAGCAUAACCCAAAGAGCAAAGUUUUUUUAUGGACAAUAAAGUAGACACAAAGACAUGAUAGGCAACAGUGUUACAGGUUACCCCUCCCUCCUGGAGUCAGGAGUAAAAAGGACCCAAGGACCUGUGCCAUCCUGUCCAACUUGCUCGCAAAAAUACAGUGCAGGUACCAUUGAUGGAAAAGUGUUUAUCUGAUACUGCUGGUUGUUCAGCUCAUCUACUCCUUAUGAGAAUUUAGAUUAAUAGUUUCUCUGAUUAGCAACUAAAAUAAGAUUUUAUUGCUUUUUUUUUCUUCAAACAGAGCACAGAUUCGAUGCCUAAAUCCUAACACAGGUCAAGAGCAAUUAAUGAAACCAGCCAGGCUGCCUUUCAGCUUCCAGAUGAGACAUGUUGGAGAAAAUAUUUCACUUGCAGUGCACCCAGAGGUGAUCCAAUAUCCCUGACAGAGAAUUAUCACUGCUUUGUCAAGAAAACCCCUUUUCAGGGCAGAACCUGACUGUCAAAUAUUAGAGAUGUGUUGGCUGCUCAUGGGGGAUGCUGGAUGAUUUAGUUGAGUUACAUAACUUGUCAGAGUUAUUCAGAAUGGUGAAGCAGCAUACAGUGAAAGGCUUGAUGUACUUUUCUAUACCGACCAACACUAGGAAACCAGGGAAGCUGGCUGCUGAUACAAAAGGGAGAUGAACAUUUGUGAUGAACAAGAAAGGACUGUUUCUUUUCCCACUGCAUGUUUGCCCAUUGGAAAUGAGCUGAUCAGGGAGGUCACAGAGCCAAUUUCAACAGUUGAUUUUUUUUUAAGGCUGGAUAAUUUUAUGAGCACUGUUAAGCACUGUAAUUUAUGUAAACCGAGAUAAUGGUAAGUAGAAACAAAUCAACUCAUGUUUCAAAGCUUAUGUUCCCCAGGGACAGGGAUGAGUGUCUCUCCUUCAGGAAGGAAAACUGUAGGGCAGAAGCAAAGCGUCCUCAGAGCACACUGGCAGGCUCCCAAGGGUCCUGGGUGCCAUGAAGCACAGGGCUAAUAGCAGAGCUAGAUACUAUGCACACAUACGUAUUCAUACAUACAACCCAAUGGGGAUAAAGUCCCAAGAUCCAGACACCCAUCACUGUUGGUCUGUGUGAAGGGAGCCAGGACAACCCUGAGUAACAGGGCAGGGCCCUGUUUGGCAGCACAAUACUGUGACAAGAGGUCAAACUCUGUAUCCCAUUGUAUUCCUAACAGAAACAAUAUAAUUUGAUAUAGUGUUUUUUUCCUGUCCUCAUCACAGAUUAAGCCAGGAAGGUUGAAUUUGCCUCCACAAGAACCAGAGACAGGACAGCAACAAUGAGAGCAGAACCAGACUGAAAAUUAAAGUUCAGGAUGGGUUUAGGACAUCCUAUUUUUGAGCAGGCAUAGGAAGAGAGAAAUAAAAAGGUUUGGGAAAGCAAAUCCUCUGGGAACAGACUGGGAAAGGGCAUAACUGGCAGGAUAGCUGAAAGGUGAAACCACACAUGCCAUUCUGCAGGGACUGAAGGGGAUGGGAUGCAAAGUUAAUGGCCACAAACCUCCACAGGAGACAUUCAGGUUAAGUAUUAGGCUACAUAUUGAGAGGUUAAAAUAGCCUGAGCAUUGAAACUCCCUGACAAGGGAAUGCCAUGGACGCAUCGGUGCCGGAGACCUUUGUUUCUGGCUAUUGCUAGACAGCAUCGUGCAGGAGAGGUGGUUUGUGGAUAAUGAGAUCA
rnacentral:lncRNA from 1 species